GUGCGAAGGCUUUCUUCCCUACAGAGAUGGUGCUGGAUCCAGGGAUCUGAGGAUUCAGAGAUCUGCUCCUCCACCCCUCAUACUCUGAAAUCAGUGUGACAGUGAAGGAAAAGUGUGUUUCGGAAAUACUCAGAAGGGAGCUGAUAGUGGGUUUUUUGGAGAUGGAAACUCCAGCGUCUGUGUCGUCACCGUCGUCCCAGCUGUCGACUGACUUGAUAGACGUCUGGCCCCAUCGCCUGCGUCCAGUCCUGACUCUGGAUACAAUGUUCUCUGCUCCUUGCUGAUGUGGAGAACAGUGGAGAGAUGAUUUUUAUCAUUGACGUGAAAAAUAAGUAGUAUUAACCAAUGAACCUUUAUCUGCUCCUAUCCUUCUUAAAUAUAGGACACUCCCUCAAAAAUUAAUGGGUUUAAAAUCCACAUGAAAGGUGGAAAAUUCAGAAUGGGAAAGAUAUAAUUUCACAGUCUUUUUGUGGAAGGCUUUGAUAUGAUCAUACAGGGAGGAAAAAAACUAUUCUACAGGACCUGACAAGAUCCCAUUUUCAGAUUCAGAAGCUGUACCUGAGUGGCGGCGACAGUGUGCCAGCUCGUCGGUUGCCUGUUUUUCACCAGGCUGAGAGGUUCCUCCUGCCCCAGUGUGGCUUGUUGUGUGGUUGGCUCCGUGUUGUCCUGAGGAACGGGGAUCUCCUGUAGAGGCUGGUUUAGAGAUUGGCCGGAGGUCUUCAGCUCUGCCUGGGUCUGACUUGGCUCGCUGGACUCCAGGUCUGUCUUACAGAGGGACAGAGGCUUUGGUUCUGUAGACGCCUCGAACAGCUUUGCCUGAGCCUUGUGCUGCUCUGAAUACUUCAAUGGAGCACCGAGCGCCUGGCCGACAUGGAAGAUCCCACUGCAGCAUGUCUUUCAUCAGUGCGAUCGCCUCGUCGCUGCCGUUGGGGAUCAGCGAUCUGAGGCUGGUGGGGACACACUUUGGGAAGCGGAAGUUCAUCGAGGCGGCCAGGUUGUAGCCCUCAGGCCAGUCCGACUGAUGUGGCGAGGAAUAGGACGACGCAACAAACAGAGCAUUUAUGGGUGACGAAGGGUGGAUGUUUACCUGGCGAGGGAGAGUGGAAAAGUGACGCGGUGUCAAUCCUGCCUGUUGCACUGUGACUGACCUAUCCUGAGCUAAGCCUUCACGGUGGACAGGGGAAGGGCAAUCCUCUGUGAGGGGAAGUGGAUUAAAGUGGACAUGAGCUUAAGAAUGUGUGCCAGGAAAGAAGAGAAGCUGGACACGUGGUUUUACCAAAUCAAGUCCACAAAGUAAGAAAACAGGAUCAUGCUGGCACAUUUGUGUUAUGAUUUUGUAAUCUGUCAAACCAAGACUAAAUUCAUGAUUCUGAUCUGGAAACAGAGGAAUGGACCAACCUGUGUCAAACACUGGACACAUAAAAAUGGUCCUGAAAGAUGACUGACUUGUCAUGUGUUGCUGAAAAUACAACAUUGAAAGACAUGCCACAUUUUUUGUUUUAUUUUUUCAAAAACUUUUAAUUUCUUAUUAAAAGUUAAUUUAUGUACAGUUUAUCAGUCAAAAGUAUGUUUAAAUACUCUUGCAUGUAAAUGUGUUUUUGUACAUUAUAAUGCAUAAUACAAAAAAACAAACCUAUCUGUCAUAUGGAGGACUAUUUCAGACACAGAAUCAUGAACAGAUAUGAGGAACAGAUAUGAUAUGCACCUCCUGUACCACUGACCCUGAUUUCAGUCUUUAACUAAGCUAUUUCUGCUGCAUGUCUUUUAUAUCCAGUUAGCCCACAUUUUGCGCUGGGCAGGAGCGGAAAGUACACCUUGGCCAGACAUGAACAAAUUAGGGCCAGUGUAUUUAUAACUGACAUAAGACUAGGUCAUAGUCUUUCUUUAUCCAUUAAUCUAUUUGUUUUAUUAUUUUGUUACCUGUGCAAAGACAAUUUUAGGAGCCAAGACAAAGACAAAGCAAGUGUCCUGUUAGAGGAGG